rnacentral:misc_RNA from 1 species
CUUCAAAGUAUCUUACAAAUCCUUCAGGACGAAAUGUAAUGGGUACAACUAAUUUGUUCCGACAGGCCCUCUGAUUUACCAAACCCUUCCAUUGGAAGUAGUAACUUCUUUUGGGAUAGAGAUAAACUUUCAUCAAGAUUACAUGAUGCACGUUUGAUUUGGGAGUACUAAGGAUUAAGUUGUCUUCGUUGCAAACAUCAAACACGCUUAAAUAUAAGAUUUUCCAUUGGAUU